rnacentral:rRNA from 1 species
CACGCCGUAAACGAUGAAAACUAGACGUUGGGAUGUACACAUCUCAGUGUUGAAGCUAACGCAUGAAGUUUUCCGCCUGGGGAGUACGGCCGCAAGGUUAAAACUCAAAGGAAUUGACGGGGGCCCGCACAAGCGGUGGAGUAUGUGGUUUAAUUCGACGCUACGCGCAGAACCUUACCGACCCUUGACAUGGGAAGUUUGGAGACGAGAGAUUGUCUCCUUCAGUUCGGCUGGCUUCUACACAGGUGC